UCCGUAGGUGGAUAAUUAAGUCAGAGGUGAAAUCCUGCAGCUCAACUGUAGAAUUGCCUUUGAAACUGGUUAUCUUGAGUUAUUAUGAAGUAGUUAGAAUAUGUAGUGUAGCGGUGAAAUGCAUAGAUAUUACAUAGAAUACCAAUUGCGAAGGCAGAUUACUAAUAAUAUACUGACACUGAUGGACGAAAGCGUGGGGAGCGAACAGGAUUAGAUACCCUAGUAGUCC
rnacentral:rRNA from 1 species